GUUUCAGGGCGAGGUGAAAUUCCUCACCGGCGGUAACAGUCCGCGAACGCCGAGAGGCGCCGAGCAGGUGGAAUUCCUGCACCGACGGUAUAGUCCGGAUGAGAGAAA
rnacentral:ncRNA from 1 species